AAAUCAUUAAAAUUAUUGAAAAGUCCAGAAAGAUCAAGUGUAGUAUAUGUUCUUAUCAGUUUAAUAUCUGAUACGUGAGCCAUUGGCUCACAUGAUAUUAAAUUAAUUUUUUUUAGGGGAAGAGCCCAUUACAAUAGCUUGCUACUGGAGUUCUUGAGUGUCGCCUAUGCGUUGCACUACUGCACGGGCCUGGCACACCCCUC